rnacentral:rRNA from 1 species
GACGAACGCUGGCGGCGUGCCUAAUACAUGCAAGUCGAACGCUGAGGGCGGAGCUUGCUUCUCUGGUUGAGUUGCGAACGGGUGAGUAACGCGUAGGUAACCUGCCUGGUAGCGGGGGAUCACUAGUGGAAACGAUAGCUAAUACCGCAUAAUAGUAGAUGUCGCAUGACAUUUGCUUAAAAGGUGCAAUUGCAUCACUACCAGAUGGACCUGCGUUGUAUUGGCUAGUUGGUGAGGUAACGGCUCACCAAGGCAACGAUACAUAGCCGACCUGAGAGGGUGAUCGGCCACACUGGGACUGAGACACGGCCCAGACUCCUACGGGAGGCAGCAGUAGGGAAUCGUCGGUAAUGGACGGAAGUCUGAACGAGCAACGCCGCGUGAGGGAAGAAGGGUUUCGGAUCGUAAAGCGCUGUUGUAAGAGAAGAACGAGGGUGAGAGUGGAAAGUUCACACUGUGACGGUAUCUGACCAGAAAGGGACGGCUAACUACGUG